rnacentral:sRNA from 1 species
GGAACUUUGGUUCUGGUGAGGCAGCAUCAGGACUCUCUAGAGGCCAGACAAGAGUGUGUCCCUACAUUUGUAUGGAGAGAGGACAAGAGCCACAAAGAAGCCUUUAGGAAAUGAAGCACCCUUGCUGAAGCCCUCCAAAGGGUUUACCUGUCAUCUGGGGUAAGACAACUCCAGUUUUUGGCUCCCCUGUGACAGGUGUUUGUCAAGUUCUGGAUCUGGUAAUGAAGUCAUAGAAGGCCCCCGAAAUGCAACAGUCCUGAAGGGCUCCCAGGCUCGCUUCAACUGCACUGUCUCCCAGGGCUGGAAGCUCAUCAUGUGGGCUCUCAAUGACAUGGUGGUGCUGAGCAUCAGGCCCAUGGAGCCCAUCAUCACCAAUGACCGCUUCACCUCUCAGAGGUACGACCAGGGCAGGAACUUCACCUCGGAGAUGAUCAUCCACAAUGUGGAGCCCAGUGAUUCGGGGAACAUCAGAUGCAGCCUCCAGAACAGUCGCCUGCAUGGAUCUGCUUACCUUACGGUCCAAGUUAUGGGAGAGCUGUUCAUUCCCAAUGUUAAUCUUGUAGUCGCUGAGAAUGAACCUUAUAAAGUUACUUGUCGAGCCUCGCACUGGACCCGGCUCCCGGAUAUUUCCUGGGAGCUCGGUCUCCUGGUCAGCCAUUCAAGCUAUUAUUUUGUUCCGGAGCCCAGCGACCUUCAAAGUGCAGUGAGCAUCCUGGCUCUGACCCCACAGAGCAAUGGGACUUUGACUUGCGUGGCUACCUGGAAGAGCCUGAAGGCCCGCAAGUCUGCAACUGUAAAUCUCACUGUGAUUCGGCGUCCCCAAGACACUGGAGGCAGUAUUAAUAUUCCAGGUAUAUUAUCAAGUUUACCAAGUUUAGGUUUUUCAUUGCCUACUUGGGGCAAAGUUGGACUUGGAUUAGCAGGCACCAUGCUUCUGACGCUGACGUGUGCUCUUACAAUACGCUGCUGCUGCUGCCGCUGCCGCCGUUAUUGUGGCUGCAAUUGCUGCUGCCGUUGUUGUUUCUGCUGCAGAAGAAAAAGAGGAUUUCGUAUUCAAUUUCAAAG